rnacentral:rRNA from 1 species
AUGAACGCUGGCGGCGUGCCUCAUACAUGCAAGUCGAGCGCACGGACGAGAAGCUUGCUUCUCUGAUGUUAGCGGCGGACGGGUGAGUAACACGUGGAUAACCUACCUAUAAGACUGGGAUAACUUCGGGAAACCGGAGCUAAUACCGGAUGAUAUUUUGAACCGCAUGGUUCAAAAGUGAAAGACGGUCUUGCUGUCACUUAUAGAUGGAUCCGCGCUGCAUUAGCUAGUUGGUAAGGUAACGGCUUACCAAGGCAACGAUGCAUAGCCGACCUGAGAGGGUGAUCGGCCACACUGGAACUGAGACACGGUCCAGACUCCUACGGGAGGCAGCAGUAGGGAAUCUUCCGCAAUGGGCGAAAGCCUGACGGAGCAACGCCGCGUGAGUGAUGAAGGUCUUCGGAUCGUAAAACUCUGUUAUUAGGGAAGAACAUAUGUGUAAGUAACUGUGCACAUCUUGACGGUACCUAAUCAGAAAGCCACGGCUAACUACGUG